GGUGGGGCGCAAGGACGGCAGCCCAAAACGACGGAGGCCAGGUGCCGCAGGGAGCCUCGGAGGGGCGAAGCCGCGUGCCGACGAGCGUUCCGAGAAGGGGCUGUGCGGCCGCCUUUUGGACCGGAUGUCCGUUUGAGGUGCCACGAGGGAUGACGGCUGCAGGGUCAGUCUCUGGACCGAGCAGGUGAAGAGGGUCCAGACGACUGCAGGAAGAUCCCAGUUAGCCGAUGCACGAUGCGCGUGUUGUUCGUUGUGGACGGAUUCAGAUCCUCGGCCCUCUGAAAGCUAAGUCGAGGGACCGGGGCCAGGG